rnacentral:rRNA from 1 species
CCUACGGGUGGCAGCAGUGGGGAAUAUUGGACAAUGGGGGCAACCCUGAUCCAGCCAUGCCGCGUGUGUGAAGAAGGCCCUCGGGUUGUAAAGCACUUUCAGUGAGGAAGAACGCCUGGUGGUUAAUACCCAUCAGGAAAGACAUCACUCACAGAAGAAGCACCGGCUAACUCCGUGCCAGCAGCCGCGGUAAUACGGAGGGUGCGAGCGUUAAUCGGAAUUACUGGGCGUAAAGCGCGCAUAGGUGGCUUGAUAAGCCGGUUGUGAAAGCCCCGGGCUCAACCUGGGAACGGCAUCCGGAACUGUCAAGCUAGAGUGCAGGAGAGGAAGGUAGAAUUCCCGGUGUAGCGGUGAAAUGCGUAGAGAUCGGGAGGAAUACCAGUGGCGAAGGCGGCCUUCUGGACUGACACUGACACUGAGGUGCGAAAGCGUGGGUAGCAAACAGGAUUAGAUACCCCAGUAGUC